AUACUUGCACGAAUGACUUUUCAUUGGUGACAGGUUCUUAGAGGGACAUGUAGUAUAAAACUACAGGAAGAUUGGGGCAAUAACAGGUCUGUGAUGCCCUUAGAUGUUCUGAACCGCACGCGUGUUACACUGAUGCAUUCAACGAGCUUUACCUUGGCCGAGAGGCCUGGGAAAUCUUUUUAGCAUGCAUCGUGAUAGGGAUUGAUUAUUGCAAUUAUUAAUCAUGAACGAGGAAUUCCUAGUAAACGCAUUUCAUCAAAAUGCAUUGAUUACGUCCCUGCCCUUUGUACACACCGCCCGUCGCACCUACCGAUUGAGUGGUCCGGUGAAGUCUCGAGAUUGUGGCAAUCUCCUUUAUUGGAGUUUGACUGCGAGAACUUGCCUAAACCUUAUCACUUAGAGGAAGGUGAAGUC
rnacentral:rRNA from 1 species